ACCUCUCGGCGCAGCGAGUCCGCCGCGCGAGUCCACCCCUAGCCUUACGUUGGUUCCGUGGCGUAGGUUCGGCAGCGCCCCCUCCACCCUCCUCCCACCCCCGCCCCCACGCAGGACUGAGCCACAGUCGGGGCCUCGGCAGCUGGACAGGAGGACGCGCCUCUUUCCCUUUCUUCCCUCGGACCAGCGGGCUGACCGACCGGGAAGCGGCGAUUGCUGGAGGGCUGAAUCUGAAUUGUUGCAGUCUGGACAAAAGAGCUCUCAUGAUGCCUAAAAGGAAAGAGACCAGGUUGGGAAGAGAUACCCUAAGGAAACAGUGAAGUUUUUCAGAUUUGAUGGCAAAUUUAAGUGGUUCUCCGAACUCUUGAUGAACAUUUCCUGGGGCAUCAUGGAUUUGCUGGAAUUCCCCCUGCAAGGCAUUCUUAAAAAGUAAUAUUUGCUUCCUGAGCUCUGACUAUCUUCAUUGGUUGCAGUAAUGGCCAGCAAAAGGAAAUCCACAACGCCCUGUAUGAUACCGCCCAAGACCUUGGCAUUACAGGACUCACAGUCAGUCUCUGUUGGUGUUGAUCAUGAAGAAACUCAACAACCUGUUACUCCCACCACACUGCCUAUUAGUGAAACUGCUGUUAAUAGCGAUCAUAACAGUGGGACGUUGUCCAAUGGAUAUAAUGGUAUUGUAGAUGGUGGGACAUACAGAUGUACAUAUUGCCAUUUUUACUCUCAAGAUGUUAAUCAGUUCCUUGGUCACCUUGAUUCUGAGCAUAUAGACUUUAGCAAAGUUCCUUCCUUUGUGUGUGUGCAGUGCAGUUUCCUGGUAAAGAGCCACAAAGAGCUUUCAUGUCACAAUGCAGAGCACCAUGUUGGGGAAACCAGCUUAAUCUGGAAUGUUGUGAAGCAAGGCAAUCAUGUCAUUGUGGAACAAACCUUUGGAGAUACUGGCACUGACAGCUGUCAAGAUCUUCUGGGAGAUCUACCUGAGGAAGUUCAAGAUAGUCAAGCUGAAAUUAUUAUUACUAAAACACCCAUUAUGAAGAUAAUGAAAGGAAAACCAGAAGUUAAAAAGAUCCACACAUUGAAAGAAAAUGUAUCUAGUAAACCAAACAAGGAUCUGGAGACAAAAGGUGGUGAACGGCCAUUCACCAAUGGAUCUGUGCCAGUGAGCCCAUCAGUAGCAGGUGCGGUCAAAUCAACACCUGUUGUCAAUGGCUCAGUAAUAGGAAAUGUGCCUGUUUUGCAGGCAGGCAUCACCCAACUGGUGCAACUGCAACAGCAACCACAAGUUCACCAGCAGCUACCCACAUCAAAAUCCCUUCCCAAGGUCAUGAUUCCCUUGAGUAGUAUCCCAACAUACAAUGCAGCAAUGGACUCUAACAGCUUCCUGAAAAAUUCUUUCCAUAAGUUCCCUUACCCUACCAAAGCUGAGCUUUGCUAUUUGACUGUUGUGACCAAGUACCCAGAAGAACAGUUGAAGAUUUGGUUUACAGCCCAGAGGUUAAAGCAGGGAAUCAGUUGGUCACCUGAGGAGAUAGAAGAUGCACGGAAGAAAAUGUUUAAUACUGUGAUUCAGUCUGUGCCCCAAUCCACCAUUACAGUGUUGAAUACACCUCUAGUUACAAGCCCUGGUGGUGUUCAGCAUCUCAUUCAGGCCAGUUUGCCUGGACAUUCAGUUGGAAAACCUGAAGGAGCAGGUGGUGUUCUAGUCACCCAACCGAUAAUAGCAAAUGGACUUCAAGGAACAACCUCAUCUCUUGCCAUAGCAGUAACAUCCAUUCCAAAGACCCAGAUUGCUAAGCCACCCACUACUGUUUCAGUUUCUAGUUCUCCAUCCACUAUGAAGGUAGUCAGUGCUGCUCAGUCUCAGAUCACUGCUUGCCCAAAUAUAACAUCACAGGCAUUCUUGGAUCCCAACUUGUACAAAAAUAAGAAGUCUUAUGAACAGCUGUCUGCACUAAAAGAUAGCUUCUGUAGGAAUCAAUUCCCUGGUCAUGUCGAAGUUGAACGGCUCACAAAAAUCACAGGACUUAGUACAAGGGAUGUUCGAAAAUGGUUUAGUGAUAGGAGAUACCAUUGUAGAAACAUUAGAGGCAGCAAACUGAUGCCUCUUGGCGAUAAUACAAUAAUUAUAGAUUCUGUACCUGAAAUUACCUUCACGUCCUCUCCCAAAUCAACCACAGAGUUAACUACCACAUCAAUACCAACACCUGUUGUUCAUGCCUCAAUCCGCAAUCAGUCAUGUCAUCAUCAGUCCCCUGAUUUUUCCACUACCAAGUAUAAGGAGAGGGCUCCUGAGCAACUCAGAGCUCUAGAAAGCAGCUUUGCACAAAACUCUUUUCCUCUUGAGGAGGAAGUAGACCGUUUAAGAAGUGAAACGAAAAUGACAAGGAGAGAGAUUGACAGCUGGUUCUCCGAGCGAAGGAAAAAACAGGCAAUCGAAGAAGAGCUGUGCCUAGAUGAAGAUGCUGUAGAUGACUCAGUGGAAGAAGAAGACUCCUCAGAUGACUUAAGAACUUCAUGUGAGAAUGGCUCAUUGGAUGCAGCCAGCAGGUCUCAAACAUCAAGUGAGCGCAAAGUGACCCCUAUAAAAAUCAACCUUAAGAACUUUAAGGUGACUGAGUCAAAUGGCAAAAGUGAGAUGCCAGCCUUGUGUGCAGAUGUGCUAAGAGGGAGUUCUCCUAGCAAGACACCUGUGCCUCCCAAACCCAAGCUAAGCUUUAAAAAGACUGCUCAGCAAAGACAUUUGCUUAAACUGCUCUUUGUACAGUCCCAGCGGCCCACAAAUGAACAAUAUGACCAAAUAUGUUCUCAGACAGGCCUUCCCAGGGUUGAAGUGAUUCGCUGGUUUGGAGAUAGCCGUUAUGGUUUAAAAAAUGGAAACUUGAGGUGGUAUCAGAACUAUAAACAUGGCAUCUUUCCUAAAGGUCUAGAAGCUUCUGGUGACACCAGCAAGGAUAUCCUCCAGGACUAUUUCCAAAAGAACAAGGUCCUUUAUGAAGAUGACCUCCCAGAUUUGUGUGAGAGAACUCAAAUGACCACUCCACAGGUGAGGCUCUGGUUUGCUGAAAGGCUCGAUGAAGAAAGCCGGGCCAUAUCGGACACAGGUAGCGAAGAUCAGUCCUCGAAUGCUGGCGAGCCAGCUGGCAGCCAGAAAGGGGCAUUUGAUGCCUUUUCAGAGGUUUCUGAAAACAGUGAAUCGUGGGAGCCUGGAGGCCAAGAUGGCAGUUCAGAACUUGAAGGUACAGAGAGUCAUCCACCUACAGUUCACUUUGCAAAGCAGCAUGGGUGCCUUCCUGAGAAGGAACCAAUACACUGAAGGCCCUCUUCUUGAGGGAACUCCCAACAGACUGCAGGUCCAUGAGGAGCCACCAAAGAUACAGAGAACUUCACCUGGUGAUCUCAGUGACUGGGCAGGCUGGUGAGGCAGAAGGUGUUCCCUGCUAGGAUAUUGCAUGCAAAGAACUGCAGAUUCGAUGGAAAUGAACUGAACCAGCACUGCGUCUCUCCUGAAGGAUCUGCUGAUAACUUUAUGAGGACUCGCAGCUGCGGGGCUCAGCCUGAAUCUCCGUUGGAAGGUCCUAAGGAAAUACGACCACAAUGCCAAGCUCUUCUUUUUGCAAAGCACAUUAAGAUGUUGUGGGGAGGGUGAAAGAGACUGGCCAAGAAGACCUUGGUUUUGUGGGGGAGUCAAGCAGUCUGCUGCUUAAUCUAGCACAUGAACAGAAUGUGGCACAGUGUUGGCAGAAUUCUCUCUCUCUCCUAGACAACUCUCUCUCUUUUUUACAACAAACAGGGUUGUUGGUUUUUUUUUUCAAUCUUCAUAUCACUAUAGAAUCAGCUUCUUAAUAUCACCAACUGAUCUACACACAGUACCUUGCUGUAGAGGCACCGUUCCAUUCUUCUUUCAUAGAAACGGACUAUCAUUAUCAUAAUAUAUUUGGAAAUCUUUCAGUGUUUGUUCUCUGAAGGCUUAGUCACUGCCCAUAUAUCCCUUAUGUUUUGAGUGACUAGGUUUGGAAAUCUAGGCAGUGAUCUCUACUUAUCAGCAAGGGAGUAAGUCUUACCGGAACCAAUGGGAAUUUCUUCAAAGUCGGAAUAGGGUUAUACUGCUUGUGGAGCCAGGGGGCAUUUCUCAGAUAGAGCUCUGCUGAGGAAUAUUCCCAGUUCUAUGCACAAAACCAGGAAAAGAAUAUGGCUCACUGGCACUAGUGUUUAAAAGGCAUCAAGUUUGUCCUGCGCUGCUGAAUACGAUCCAGUAACAAGUAAGGCAAAAAUCUAGAAAGAAAAAUGGGCACUUCAGAGAGGAAAUCUUUUGUCAUUAAUUCUUUAAUGACAAAAAAUGUGAGGCUUUUCUCCUGCAAAAAUCUACAGAUACUCUAUGUGCAGGGAUGGAGUAAAUUUUAAUCUAGAGUCUUUGUUUUUCCUUCAUUUCGUUUAAAGAAAAACACUUAUUAUUUUUAUUAAGACUAUAAUAAGAAAAUGUAAUUAUUCAGGUAGGUGAGGAAGGUUGCAAAUACCAUGUUUUGCAUAAAUCCCACCUUACCUAGUGUUGGACCAGACACACUCUGGGGCUAUAUGUAUGUAAGAAUGGCAAAUAGUGGGUUAAUUAGAUCCCAUUCAUAGGGAUGUGCUGCUGGUAACAUUUGCCAUCUCCCCUGCUGUUUCUUCUGGCCAUUUAUGAGCAAGAUCUCUCUGUCUCUGUCUCUGUCACUGCCUCUCUCUCUUUUUCUGCAGAGCAGGUUUGAGCUAUGCAGAAUGCAUAGUUAAUUUUGUAUGUUUUAACUGGAGAGUAACUUCUAUCUUGGCUUUCUUUCUAUUUUGAAAAUAUUUUAUUUAAUUAUUUUAACAGUAUGGAACAUUUUAAUUUAAUAUGCUGGAGUUUAUUUCUAGUGGUAGGAAAUAUUUCUUUAACUGGGUCAGUUGGUGGCUCUAAACAACUGUCUUAGUAUGAGCACUUAAGGAGGCCUGCUGUUCCAUAGAACCAGCUCCAGAAUCUUCUCUGAAGAUGCUUUCAGAUGCCAGCUGUCAUAUUAUGCGCAAGCAUUCACUCCCGAGUUUCUUGUCUGGAAAGAUUGGUUUGGGAAACACUUUUGAUGAGAAACAGAGAACCUCCCUUACACCAUCGAAAUUCUGUUAGCUUUUAGAGGAUUUUGUCCUUUUCAGUUAUUCUAGAGGAGGAUUACUGCACCUCAAGCCAUUUCAGGACUGUGUGUUGCAUAAACCCACAGAUGCACAGUGUAGCGUUGGCCACACAAUUCAGUUUUGUGAGAAUCUCAGAGCAUAAGUAUACAUGUUGGGUUGGGUCUAGAAUCUGCCCUUUGUGGAUGGGUGGGUGGGUGGAUGGAUGGAUGGCCUCCACUUACAGAAGAUGCCUAUGCCUGAUUUUCAGGGAUUCCCCUCUAACCUACACAGCACUUCACCCUAUUCUGCAGGCAUUCCCGGAUUUCUUUGUAGCAAAAGAAUAGGGAGCCCCUUUCAGCCCAUGGGCCAAAUCCUGUUUUGGAGAAGUUUGCAGUAGCUUGGCCCAGAGGCAAAAUGUCUGAGGCCAAAUACCAAAACUGGCAGUGUAUUUCAGCUUAAGGUUCUUAUUGCCAGCAACUGGUAGAUAUUUUAACCCCUUAGAAUGGGGAAAUGCAUUGAAAAGCUAGAAAACCACCAAAUGAGUGGUGGCUAGGGGAAAGAGAGUGUGGACUUAUACAGAACGCCCAAAGGGCUGGAUUGGGAUCCCAACCCUGAAUUUCCCCAUCACAGUAUAUAUUUCCACAGGGGCAGGGGUGAUGACGCUGGGAGAAAAGAAAGGGAGGUCUCUUUCUACCAGCCCACUUGCCGUGCCCAAAUCUGGAUCCAAAACUGUGUACUUUUAGGGUAUAUUUAGUUUUUGCAUUUUCUGAUUUUACACAGUGCAGCCAUGAUAGUGCAAUAUGAACUGAAAGACUGGAGCACUGUCUGCAUGUGUAAGGCUAAGCUCUUCCCAUUCUACCUCUUUACUGUACAAGAGGAAAGAAACGUUUGUGCAAAAUGCACAAGGGUGAUCUUGGUACAGAAUUUUUCUUUAAAAAAUUGCACAGGCACACGUAGCACUGAUUAUAUUAAGCAUCAAUCCAUAAGUUUCUCCUCAUCUUUCUACUUCUGCCACAAAUUGGAUGUUGGGACUUGAGUCUCUCCAGUGCCAUAUACAUAGGCCAUCUGUGCUGUCACUCAUAGAUCUUUCCCUGAAGAUGAAUUGUGAAUCCUCUUUCUGCUAUUUACACUGAGAUGGAAAAGACUGACCAGCUAACCUGCACAGCUUCAGCCAUGCAAACUUGGUCUUAAGACUGAGAUUCCCCACAGAACUAUUUGCUUUCUUACUGGAGGAGCCCUAAAACCCAGUUGUCAGUUCCACUUUCAGGAAUACUUGCCCUAGUCUCUUAGGAAAUCGUUGCAAGGAACUGAUGAUGUAGGCCAGAGCCAGGGCUGCCUAUGGUCUAUAAUGGAGGAAAGAGUUCUGGAUCCCAGUAAAGGCUAUGCUAGGACAGGUGUUCUCAAGCCUUUUACAUCCAAGAGGCCCACAAAAUCAUGACAGUAUGGCAUAGUCAGCCAGCAAUUGCUGGUAGCAUUUCAUAUUGGUAUCUAAUUCCUCUUUGAAAGUUGCCAAACAAUUUGCUGCAGGCAUUUCUUUAUAGCAAGAAUUCCGUAUCAGCUUUCUGCAAGUCAAGUGCAGACAGUGGCUCUGAAAGUAUCAUUACUUGGCCACCCUGUUUCAGGAAAAAUUUGCUGGUCCAGGAGUUCUGUGUUUGCAGCAGGCACCAGGCUUCCUGCCUAUCCUAGUGUUGUUGUUGUUGUUAUGUACUGUCAAGUCAUCUCUAACUUAUAGUGACCUUAUGAAUGAAAGCUCUCCAAAAAGCCAUAUCCAUUUUUAAUUUAAUUUUAGUUCUUAAUUUAGUUUUAAUUUUAGUUGUUAAGAUUAUUUUAAAUUAUUAUUUUUAAUUGGGAGGCUGCCAGGCAAAGCACUGUUCUCCAGCAGCAUCUGUAUAUGGGUUCCAAAGAGUAGUUUGAUAUUUAGAGCUGAAAUCAGCAGUUCCACAUUUUACUUCGGUUUUUGGGCUAGUUAUUUUGGUAAGUCCUUUUUAACCUUUUGGGAAUAAGUGUUUUGUAACUGGCCACGCCUGCCAAAGCAGUGUUUUUUUAUGAAUGAACAAGCCCUUCCAUGGCAACCAUUCUGUGAAAGUGCCCAGAACAAUAUCUCAAAAUUCCAGUGUUGCCAGCCAAUGCAAAAAGGUUAGGGGUAUUGUUCUUUUUCUCUUCCUCUCACAUGCUUCCUACCCAUCUGCCAUUUCUUCACCCUCUUCGCCCCUUCAUGUAUACCACAUCCACAACUCCCUGUUUGCUUCUUUCAUCACUUCUUCUGCUGCUUUUGGAAACAUAGAAACAGAGUCAGUCAGAAGGGGUCUCCCAGGCCAUCUAGUCUUACCCCCGGCUCCAGCUGGCUCUGCUCAUGACAUGCCUACCAUUUUACAUUCACUUUCUCCUAUAACAUUCCCCCUCUUACCCGUUCCUCUUUAUCCAUAGUUAUUUAAACUAUAUUCUUAUUGAGUAUUAUGGAGCAUAGGAUGCGUGCGUCUUACUCCCUUACCAGUUCUGACUGCCACCCCUGUCUACUCAGCAUAGAGGCAUGUGGCAGGCUGCACUGAAAGCCUCCGGAAAGUUGGGCCCUACACUUGACCAAGCAUUUGAGAAACACCCUGUUAGGAGACUUGGCCUGAAGAGUGUAGCUUCAUUUUAUAGUAAUGCCUUCAGAGAACAAAUGCAGGUAAGUGCCAGAGGGUGUAGUCUUCUCAGGAAUCUGUGGGCCAUUUCUGUUGAAAUGGAUGGGAAUUAAGCAAGAGUUCCCAAAUGAAGGAGCAGCCUCAGUCACUUCAGUGGGACUGGCAGGGGGAGAGUUCUUGGCAGACUACACUCUUGUUUUUCUAUGUCUCUCAGUACAUACAGGUUUGUUUUAAAUAUACAUACACAGUACAUAUAUGCAGUUAUUUUACACAUAGUCAUUACAUUAACAUUUUUCCAUGUACAGCUUGCUGGGUAAUUGAAAACCUUGGUUUCUGAGGAGAAUGUGGUUUCGUGUACACUUAAAAGGAAUGAGAACAAAUGUGAAGUAGCUCUUUUGAUGGCAGCAUGAAUGGAUUAAUUAGGUUGUAACCCUGAACAUCCUUACUUAGAAAAUAAGGUUUGCUCAUAUUCCACUUUCAUGUAACUCUUGUUGGAUCAGGGUGGCUAAGUUUAGCAGCAGAUUUAUAAUUUAUAUUGUGUGUAGAGAUUUCAAAACCUGGAGUUAGAAUGGCUGUUGGCAAGUCAGUUUAAUCCUGUUUGAUUAGAUGAGAAAAAGCCACACACAAAAUUCACUAGAGCUUGAUUUGUGGCAGGGAGAAGUGUCUCUUCAAGGGGUGUUGUGUUCACUUGUGAUAAAGGAGUGAUGGGCUUUGCUGCUGCUGCAUGCAACAAUCAAAUGCCAACAGCAACUCUGCUCUUACUUUCUCUGUAGUGCAGAAUGCACAGCUUUUGAAGCAAAACUUUUGGGGCAAAUACGUUGUUGCGAGCCUCUCUUCAGUGGUUUCACAACUGCUUUUCUUGUCACAGGAAACUUUACCACAAUUUUACAUGGCCCUUCUUCUGUUAAAAUCAUCCUGAGCUAGAGCCCUCCCCUUCUUUUUCACAGGCACGGGGUGGAGGUUUUGGCUGGGUAAGUAGAGCACAUGCUUCGUGCAGAAGUUCAGAUCCUAGCAGCUCCAGGUAAGGCUGCUGCCAAUCACUGCAGACAACAGAGGGCUAAGUUGUUCAGUGGUUUGUUGCACUCUAAAGCCACUUCCAGAUUCGAAGUUGCUUGGUAUUUUAAUUAAUCCUUGUCUGGUUUGGAGCUCUUUCCUACUCCACCCCAGAUGAAAGCUAAUUUUCCUAGAGACUGAAUGUUUGGUGCUAAAAACAAAUUAAUUGCUAGUCCUUUUGCACUGAUUUCUGUCCAUGAAGCAGUCUCAAUUAAAGCUGGAUUUUGUUUUCUUUUAAGAAUCAGAAUAUUUUGUUUUCACUUUGCGUCUUGUAAAGAUGCUAGAACACUUUGGUUAGAAAUCCAGCUGCAUGGCUAGUUUUGGACAUGCAAGGUGGUUAGACAAAGCACUUAAGUGUAGGGAUAUUGGUGUAUCAAGUAUACUUUAUUUAUAGGCUGCUAAACUUAUUUAUCUUGUUAGUCAAGCUGUAUUCUACUCCUUUCUCCACAUUUCACAAGGUAGGAAGGGAAACUACUGGAAUAAGAAUCAAAGGAUUUCCAUCAUUUGAAUUUGCAAAGAAAUUGCUUGGUCUCACUUAAGUUUUUACAGCUGAUCUGGCUCAUUCUGAACAUUCAUAUUUGUAUUACCUUUGCACUUUUCUUCUAGGACAGUGUGCAUGAACCUCUGCAGCUCCAUUGCACCAUCCUUCUAUGAUAAUAGCCCUGUGAGACUCUCCUGGCAGAGAGUUGUGCAGGAAUUUGACUCCUGGUCUGCUUAGUUCAAGUUCAGUAUCUUACCUACUACACCACACUAGCUCUGAAUUUAACAUACCUGUACAACAGUCCCAGCUAUUUUAAUUUGUAUCAAAAUAACUUGUCUAAUUUGUGUAGUAGCUCACCUUUUAAGACUAGUUUCAAAUUGCAGAACUGCUACUACCUAAUGCUGCUUUUUGUGUCAACAAGGACUUGCAUACACUGCAUUGCUCAAGCUGUGAGAUCAGCUGGUGCUCAGCAGAGACUUUUGGCAUGAGACUGACAGUCCAUAUGGCUGCCUGAUCAAAUGUGAUAGCGCCGCUAUAUAGCAAGCACCAUCUUGGAGUGUUCCUGAAUUUGGAACUGGUGUGACACAGUUGAUACAUAUGUGGGGCUUAAGGUAUCAUUUGUCAUAACUUAAAACCUAAUCUCCCCUUUAACCUCUCUUCUUGCUCCCUUCCAAUAUGUUUUUCUUUUCUAAAUAGACAGGCAUGAAACAGAUGAAAUGUGGGGAUAUGGGAAACUUUGCACCAGAAUGUAAAAUGUUUUCAGAUCAGAAGAAAGGAUUGGAGUGUAUUCAGCUGCAGGCACACAGUGUAUCUUCUGUGGUAUUUAUUAGUCAUACUUGAAAUCUUAAUUUCAUCUGGGUUUUUUCCUAGUGAAACUGUGUUUUUUUUUUAAUUGAGAGCUGAUUGAACCACUCUGUGGAAUGGAAGUAGCACUGUAAAACUUAUUAAUGGGCUGCUACAUGGGGCUCACAGACCGAAUAAACUCUUGUUUAUUCCCUUUGCAAAAGAGCCUCUGGGAAUGCCUCCUGUGCGAUUUCUAUUGAACUGAAUCAGAUGUGUGCAGGGGGCCAUAGUUCAGAAGUAGAGCACAUCCUUUGCACAUAGAAGUUCCCAGGUUCAGUCCUCAGCAUCUCCAUUAAAAGGACCGAGUAACAGAUGAUGUGAUAGACCCAGGAAAGCUGCUACCAGUUACAGUGGAAAUAUGGGGCCAGAUAGAACAAAAGCCUGAGAAGACUUAGGACAACAGGCUAGUAGACAAGUUUCUGUGUAAAGGGCUGAUUCAGAUGUAAAGUUCUUGUAUAGGAAAAGACAUUGUUUUUAUUAACAAGCACAAUAGGGAUGGAUUAAUGCUGUUAAUAAUACACAGUGCAUAAUGCCUCUCUCAAGUCUUAAUAUAAUUGCUUCUGUGGCAUAGCCAGUAUGGAAAAGAUCCAUUUGCUGAGCCUUUCUAUGGUACAUGCCAUCAUACAUACAGUACCUUCAUGUUUGAGAGGGAAACUGGAGAAAGAGGUACUUUCCCCAGAGGAAAGAGGGGAAAUGCUCAAAUAGGGCUGUUCAGAUGUUACAGGGUUUGCUCUAGGCAAAGUCAGGGGCCAUACUGCAAACCUGUGGCUUUUGAAAUGGGUGCAAAGUAGCCCUCCGGUGUCUUUAAAGUUGUAGGGCCAGUGAAAAGCAAAUGCAGCAAGCUGCUUGGAAGAGAGUCCAGGAAGGAGCAUCCAUACUAGUUCAAGGACACUAACUUUUACCUGGCAUAAAUUUUUGCAUUUGAGGCUCUUUUAAUAAUGACCAAAGGGUGGAAUCCUGAUCAUGCCGAUGAACAGGAAGGGCAUGUUCUUAUGAAACCGCUCCCAUAAGGCCAUGCAAGCUACGGAAGUGCUUUUCUGAUGUGAAAAGAUCUCCAGCAGUCUGUCAGCUCAACAAUUACUGCAGCUGGGGCUCCUUCUCCCUUUCAUCCUAAACUUUAUGUGGCCCUAUGUGCUUUAUAGUUUAACUCCCAAUGAAGUUUUCUCAUGGAAGGAGUCCAGCAGAUAACUCACAUGCCUUGGAUAAGCAAGACGUUAGAACAUUCACAGAUGCUCUUGGAUCUUUGAUGCUGUCUUCAGGAUGCUUUCCUUAAGGAUAUACAGCUUUGUUGACUUUUCCUCAUCCUGUGUAAAAAUUCUCUCUCAGAGCAGAUUGCCGAGCUCUUCGACUUUCCAAGCCAAUGGGAAACUAUUGUAAAUAGCAUCUUUUAAUAGACCAUAGAAUUUUGAUUUAACUGCAAUGGUCCCUUUUAUGUAAGGGUAGCAGUGAGCUAGUACACCAAGCAUCUUUUUGUACAAUUAUUUUUAGGGUAGGGUUAAUUUACAAACUAUGAAGAAAAUUGGGUUCAUUUUUGUACUUUUGGUAAAAUGUUUGAAGAGGAAAAGGUUGAAGCUGUCAGAGUGGGUAAAUGUCUGUUCUCUUUCAGCCAGAGAACUGGUGAUCCUGGUCUGAUGGUACUUUUUCGGCUAUGAUGCCACUUCUGCGAAGUGAACUGCAAGUUCCCCUUCAUUUUGUAUAUGUGGCUAUGAGCAUGGGAAGAGCUUGCCUGUACAGUCUGGUGAAAUGAGACCUUUUUGGUUUGUUCUUAAAUAAAACAAUGAGAGGAAGAAAAGAAAAGCUAAA